UACGGAGGGUGCAAGCGUUGUUCGGAAUUAUUGGGCGUAAAGGGCGCGUAGGCGGGUAUGUAAGUCGAUUGUGAAAUCCCCGGGCUUAACCCGGGAACUGCAGUCGAUACUGCAAAUCUUGAAUGCUUGAGAGGGUACUGGAAUUCCUGGUGUAGAGGUGAAAUUCGUAGAUAUCAGGAGGAACACCGGAGGCGAAGGCGGGUACCUGGCGAGACAUUGACGCUGAAGCGCGAAAGUGCGGGGAUCAAACAGG
rnacentral:rRNA from 1 species